UGGUGUGGGUUGGAAAGUUUUUCGGUGGGGGAUGGGCUCGCGGCCUAUCAGCUUGUUGGUGGGGUGAUGGCCUACCAAGGCGUCGACGGGUAGCCGGCCUGAGAGGGCGACCGGCCACACUGGGACUGAGACACGGCCCAGACUCCUACGGGAGGCAGCAGUGGGGAAUACUGCACAAUGGGCGCAAGCCUGAUGCAGCGACGCCGCGUGAGGGAUGACGGCCUUCGGGUUGUAAACCUCUUUCAGCAGGGAAGAAGCGCAAGUGACGGUACCUGCAGAAGAAGCGCCGGCUAACUACGUGCCAGCAGCCGCGGUAAUACGUAGGGCGCAAGCGUUGUCCGGAAUUAUUGGGCGUAAAGAGCUCGUAGGCGGUCUGUCGCGUCUGGUGUGAAAUCCCGAGGCUCAACCUCGGGCUUGCAUCGGGUACGGGCAGACUAGAGUGCGGUAGGGGAGACUGGAAUUCCUGGUGUAGCGGUGGAAUGCGCAGAUAUCAGGAGGAACACCGAUGGCGAAGGCAGGUCUCUGGGCCGCAACUGACGCUGAGGAGCGAAAGCAUGGGGAGCGAACAGGAUUAGAUACCCUGGUAGUCCAUGCCGUAAACGUUGGGCACUAGGUGUGGGGCUCAUUCCACGAGUUCCGUGCCGCAGCUAACGCAUUAAGUGCCCCGCCUGGGGAGUACGGCCGCAAGGCUAAAACUCAAAGGAAUUGACGGGGGCCCGCACAAGCGGCGGAGCAUGCGGAUUAAUUCGAUGCAACGCGAAGAACCUUACCAAGGCUUGACAUGUNCGNGAAAGCCCCCGAGACGGGGUUCUCUUUGGACACUCGUACACAGGUGGUGCAUGGUUGUCGUCAGCUCGUGUCGUGAGAUGUUGGGUUAAGUCCCGCAACGAGCGCAACCCUCGUCCUAUGUUGCCAGCGGGUUAUGCCGGGGACUCAUGGGAGACUGCCGGGGUCAACUCGGAGGAAGGUGGGGAUGACGUCAAAUCAUCAUGCCCCUUAUGUCUUGGGCUUCACGCAUGCUACAAUGGCCGGUACAGAGGGCUGCGAUACCGUAAGGUGGAGCGAAUCCCAAAAAGCCG
rnacentral:rRNA from 1 species